rnacentral:tRNA from 1 species
GGCGCUAUAGUGUAGUGGUUAUCACCCCAGAUUCUGAUCUCAGGAUUUUCUGGGAACCCAGGUUCGAUCCCUGGUAGCGCCU